rnacentral:misc_RNA from 1 species
GAUGAAGAACGUAGCGAAAUGCGAUAAGUAGUGUGAAUUGCAGAAUUCAGUGAAUCAUCGAAUCUUUGAACGCACAUUGCGCCCCAUGGUAUUCCGUGGGGCAUGCCUGUUCGAGCGUCAUUUACCCCCUCAAGCUCCGCUUGGUGUUGGGCGUCAGUCCCGCUUCGCGCGCGGACUCGCCCCAAAGGUAUUGGCAGCGGUCGUGCCAGCUUCUCGCGCAGCACAUUGCGCUUCUCGAGGCACCGGUGGGCCCGCGUCCAUCAAGCUCACCCCCCCAGUUUGACCUCGGAUCAGGUAGGGAUACCCGCUGAACUUAAGCAUAUCAAUAAGCGGAGGA